GUGGAUGCAUUUGAAUCGAAAACAAAUGGUCAAGGCUGUGGCGCGCCUUCUUCCUUCGUUAGGCCCCAACGCCAAGGCGGUGUUUCCAGUGACAGCCAGCGCGGCACUGAGCGCAGAUUCUCCAGAUGCCCACGCCGCAGGUUUGACGUGCUGUUGACUGGAUUUGGGUCUUUGACUGGGCAUUUAGGAGGCUGUGGGCUAAGAUUUUUAUCAUUGAUUUAUACCUCGCUUCAUGUAGGUUUGGUUUCUUUCUUUUUUCGGAUUUUUCCUCUCUCUUUCUUUCUCUUUCUUUCUUUCUUUCUUUUGGGGGGGCUUUUUUUUGGGUUUUUUUUUUUUUUUGUCUUUUUGCCUUUUCAAGGGCAACACCCGCUAGGGGUCAAAUCGGAGCUAUAGCUGCUGGCCAAUACCACAGCCACAGCAGUGCGGGAUCUGAGCCAUGUCUGUGACCUGCACCACAGCUCACGGUAAUGCCAGAUCCUUAACCCCCUGAGCAAGGCCAGGGAUCAAACCCACAACCUCAUGGUUCGUAGUCAAAUUCGUUUCUGCUGCGCCACGACGGAAACUCCAGGUUUGAUUUCUUUGAUCAGUGAGUCAUGUUUAUUUUCCUUGCUGUUAAGUUGAAUUGCAGUACCUUUAAAGUGGCGUUUUAAAGUUUAUGUUGGGCAAUACGAGUAGUUUAUCGGAUUCAACCUCGGUUUAUCCUGGAACUGACAGUAUAGUAUGUAGAGUACAGUGAAUCAGUCAUUUAUGCUAGUCUAGAAAACAGUUGGUUUUCAGAUUUGUUUAUUUAACCUUUUUAUUGGUGGUUAAAUGAAUAUCUCAGUGCUCGGAAUGCUUAAUAUAACUAUAAAAAUGCUGGCCAGAGCAGUGUCAUUUUCUCUAACUAAUCUCAAAAGAUCUUAAGUCUUUGAACCAUUUUAAAAAAGUUCUACAGAGAUGAGGUCAAUACAGCAUGAUGUACGUUGUCAGGAUAGAACACACUCAGAGCUGUACUACUUCACAUUAGGGAGUUUAACAGUUCAGUGGUUGAAUAACUUGGUUUUGUUUUGUUUCCCUGGGAAAGUUAAAAGGAGAUGUAAAAUAGUAUUUAAAAUAGCAAGCCAGCUUCUCAGUCAUAUCAGUUCUUUUCUGUUUCAGGUCAGCUGCAGGAUGCUAGGACAAAAUAGGCCGGGCUGGUCCCUCUUACAAGGAGAAACGGGUCUGAUAAACAUCCUUGCUUUUGGUUAACGCAGAAGAUGACCAGGGUGCCGAGGAGAGCGAUGCAAUAACACACAAGCAGACCUGCUUUUCCUGCUGCUCCCAGGGAGGCUCCACCGCCAGGGCCAGAGACUAGUUUGGUCUUCUUGAUAUUGUGGCUCCAGAGGAUUCAGUCUUCGGAUUGGCUACUUCAAUUCUGUGAAGUCACGAACUGUGUCUAGUUUCAGUUUCCCUGUACUUUCGUGGGUAAUAGGCAGGAUGGCGGUAGCUUUGAGCACAUCACUAGAGAGGAGUUAAAAAUCGAUUUUUCUUGAGGCAGUGACUUGUAUGGCAGAUAGUUGAUAGCAAAAUUAAAUUUGGGGUUUAUGUUUCAAAUACUAAAUCUGAAUUUCACUAAAGAAUAUUUAAGAAAAAAAUGAAAUAGUUUCCGCUUGAAAAUAACAUAAACAUUUUGUCUGGGUGUGCUGUUGAAAUAGUUUCUAGAUAAAAUUCAAUGUAUGGUAAUGUGAAAAUAGUGUCACUUGUUUUAGCUGUGUUUUUGGUGGAGUAACUGAGGCAGACUGGGUUAUGGGUUACAGUGAUACUAGUUAGAGUCUCCUUCAGCUAAGAUCAUGAAUAGAUCAGGCUAAUGCUAAGAAUUGAUUAUGCUUUUAAAUCUUAGUAUUAAAAUAUUCCAAAUAGGUUUGGUAAGUUUUGCAUGUCGCUAACUUUGAAUGUAGAUAUACUUCAUUACAUUUCUUUUUGCAUAUAUACCAUGUAUACACUUUUCAGUGUCUGCUUUUCAUGCUUGAGUUUUCUUUUAGCUCAUAACACCAGUAGCUACCAUUAACUUCGCACAGAAAAAGCAUUAGCAGAUUGAAAUAAGUUUUAACUGUUGCUCUGUUCUUUUUCGCAUUACUUUACGCAGAGCCCUUCUACCCAAUGAGUUGCAAGCGUGACAUUUGCUGUGUUUUCAGCACCUGCCAACUUGGAAACCAGGGUUUGUGCUCAGGACUCAGGCUUACAACCCACACUUUGUGGUGCACAAUGCGGUCCCAGCUGGCAUGCUUCUUACCUCAAUGGUGCUAGACGUUCGGUUACAAAGCUGUGCAGAUCCACAUGCGCUCAUUUCAAUAGGCGUCCCCUUCAAGCUGCUUUCAACUCUCACUUUGACUCAAAGGAGUUAGAUUGGUAUCAUUAAAUUCACUGCUUUGCUUAUUCUUCAGUGGAAAUAAAUUCAUUUUACUUAGCUCUUGAAUCAAAAAAUAACUGUCUUCAGGAUCCAGAGUACCUCUUUUAAAAGGUGUGUGUCCAUGGGAGAAAGAUUUCUGUGUCUGUGUAUGUAGAUCUAUGUGAGCUUCCAGCCAGAGCGCUGACUCAUUUUCAUCGGUGGAAAGGUUUCAGGACAGAACGUAAAAAAAGCAGAAAGGAAAGGUCGGAAGGAUUAGUAUGUCAUAACAUGCUUAUGUAGGUAGGGCUGUUAGUUAUAGCUGGAUCAUAGCUGUGGGAAAACAAUUAUAGAACUUAGUUUUCUCAAUAAGAUCUGCAUAAGAAAAUGGCCCUCAUGGUAGGUUCAGAUUUUUUGGCUUGCAUCUAUAACCAAAACCCUCACAUAGUUUUUGAAGAAGUGUAUCUUGCUAACUUGUUUUCAGUAGGCAGUCUCUUUGAAAAUGCUUCAGGUGAUAUGUCUUCCCAGCAUCUAUUAUGAGCAAUUUUAAAAGGUUCUGCUUUAAAAAGAUCUUUUCAGAUGUAGAAAGGACAGUGUGAAAUGUGAAUGACUGGCUUUUAAUACAGCAGUUGUGACAAAGAGGCAGUGGCUUUUGGGAGCUGAAUAAUGGGGUUAAUACACAUGCAUCUGCAUACUGCUGUUAGGGCCAAUUGAGAACACGUUUGAUGUUUGUUUCACUCACAUCGUUGGUCUGAAAAGAAUAUUAUUCUCAGAAACAAACCAGUUUGCCAUUUUUUAGUGCUGAACUCUAUUUACCAUCAUAGGUACAGACAGAUUUGAUGGGAAAAACUGAAUAGUAUUGACUGAUAGUUGUUCAAACUUCAAAAUUUAGCUCCUUGUUGUUUGAACAUCAUGUUUAUCUGAUUCCAAAGGCACAAAAAAUAGGAAUUCCCACUAUGGUGCAGCAGGUUAAGGAUAUGGCGUUGCCACAGCUGUGGCGUAAGUUGCAGUUGUGGCUCAGAUUUGAUCCCUGGCCAGAAACUUCCAUGUGCCUUGGGUGUGGCCAAAAACAUAAAUAAAAAAAAAUAAAGGCACGAAAAUAAAACACCCGCUAACGACCAGGGACUUUUUUUUUUUUCUUCUUUUUUUUAGGGCUGCACCUGCAGUGCAUGGGAGUUCCCAGGCUAGGGGUUGUAUCAGAGCUGCAGCUGUGUCACAGCCAUAGCAGCAUGGGGUCCGAGCUGAGAAUGUGACCUACACCAUAGCUCAUGGCAAUGCUGGAUCCUUAACCCACUGAGCGAGGCCAGGGAUAGACCCUGCAAGCUCCUGGAUACUAGUUGGGUUCAUUACCACUGAGCCACAAUGGGAACUCCCAAGGACAUUUCUUAGCGCAUAUCAAACCCCAGUCUUUACCUCCUCUGCACAGAAGUGCUUAGGUGAAUAUUUUUAUUAGCUUGUUGAUACAGGCUAUAGUUGGUUACACCCUUUUCUUAAGAAAAUACACCCUUAUUGUCUCCUGUUGCUUAAGAGCUUUAAAUUUGGCAUGGGGAAACUGGCUAGUAUAGAAUGAUACUCAGUUUAUAUGUGCCAGGCAGUGCUGAAGGGACACAUGGUACAUACCGUGCACAUGGGCAUUCCUUCAUUUGGUAGUUCUGCUUUGAGGGGAGCCAGGAAUGCCAGUAUUGCUGUUUUCUCCCUGGGUUUCAUGUAGCGGUCUUGGAGUGAGACGGUAUGUAACCCUACAGUUUAUACUUCCCAGGGUGUUCUGUGACUUAACCAGACUAAUACUGGUUGAGGAUAAUGGAAAAGUUAUAGGUAAUUACUUUUAGAUUAUUUAUGGAUUUAUUCCCAAAUUGACCUAUGAUUUUGCAUUUAGGUGUCUGAUUGUGCUCUAAAUCUGGUUUUGAUUUGGUUUUUGACCUUUUAGGGUGAAACAAAAGUUCUCCUGAUUGUACUUUACAUCGUUUUAAAUCCAGAGUUUGACUGAGUUUAUAUUUUACUCUUCGGAAUUGAGCAACUGUAAUAUUCAACCUUUGGGUUUGGGCUUUUUAUAAUAAAGAACUAUGUAGUAUAACCCUAAAAAGUAGGGAAAAAAAUGGGACUUUAUUUAAUACAUAACGUGGGAAGGUGCCCACAGUAUGAAGGUUAGUGACACAGGCCUUCAUGUAUAUAUUUAGCCUUUCAACAUUCAAAUGAGAAAUAGCUAUUCAGCUACUCUUGAAACAGAUAUUUUAGUUUGUACACUUUCAAGAAAGCCUCAGAACCAGAAAAACAGGCUGCUUUAGGUUGGAAAGGAGGUGUUACAGCAAAGGAGCUUGCCAUAACCACAAUCCUUGGAGUUUUGUGAGACUAAAAUCACCCUGAAAGCAACAAGAAUAAUGGUUGCAAUAAUUGUUUCCAGGCCUGGGACCUGUGAAGUUUGUUUUUUAAGUUGACCUGAUGAACUAGUAAUUGCAGGAAUAAACUGAAUGUUUGCCAGCAGGAGUCACUCUAGGCCUCCUAAUAAAAAGUAAAUUAAACUAUAUCCUUAAAGCUCUCAAAGGCUGAGGUGCCACUGUGAUGCGAUGGCACGGGGGGAAUGUAGCAGCAUUCUCGAAUGAUCCCUUAGGCCUUUCUUUGUUCCAUCUAGGAGGACUUGGUUCUUGCUUCUUUCAACACUGGCCCUUGAUACAUGUUCUAAAAGCAGUGUUUAUGGGUAAAGGAUAUUGGUACCUUAGUUGUCUGCACAUUAGCUUGCUUUGGCUGUCUUAGGAUGAACUGAUCAUGUCCCACGUCAUCAGCUAGAAUGAAUACUUACACUCUUGUAGUGUUGUCCAUCCGGAUCAUAGAACAGAAGUCACUGGAGUGAGCUGUAUGUAGUUAGUGUGAAAGGAGAUGUUAGCUUGUGGCUUCCUGAAGAAGAAUGGGUCCAGUGUGAUGAGAAACUGAAAUAUUUUAGUAAUAGCCAUGAAAUAUAAUAGUUUCCCAAGUGCGCACAAGCUCAAGAAGUUAAUUGUUCAUUUAUGUUUGAUACCGGGAUUGAAACAUUGGAUUAAAACCAAUUAAAUGUUCCUAGAAGCCACAGAAAAAGUUUCCUGAUUUAUGAAUAGGACCAUUCAAAUGGCGCAGACACAAUCCAUGUAAAGUAAUGAGGUGUUUUGUUUUUUUGGCAAAGGAGAACACAAAACAGGCAUAGGGAGUUCUUUUUAAAAACCUUCUCUUCAAAAAAAAAAAAAAA
rnacentral:lncRNA from 1 species